UGAUCACCUGAACAACAUGGACUCAAACCCUGUAGCUAUUGGAUUUUGAGCUUUAAAUUCAUCUGGUACCUGUCGUGGGACUCCCAAGCAUCUAUGUAAAUAUUCAGAAAAACAAUCAUUUGUCAGCAGACCCGCAUGAUAAGACAUACCAGAAAAGUCCUUCCGACUGGAAGAGAAUUACUUCAAGUGAAAAUUCAGAUUUACAGGAAGAAGAAAGGCAAAAAUAAUAAAUACGUGUGUAUAUGUAAAAAC